rnacentral:lncRNA from 1 species
CAGGACUAUCCCAAGAGAGCCAGGGAGAAGCAGAGCUGCACCAUGUGGCCUCAUCAGCAAGUGCUGAGUCAUCCCUCCUCCCCUUUCUCUWCUUCCUAGGUAAGGUCAAGGGCAGGACACACCAGGUCCCACCCCUAAGAGUCCAAUAUCUCAAGCUCUGUAGCCCAGAAAUUUUCCAACUCUGCUAAUUCAGUAUUGUGACUAACAGCCCAGUUAGAAAGUGGUGGGUUCCAAUCUAAGAUCCCCCUUUAUGAAGCCUUAUGACUUUGAGUAAAGGUCUUAUCCUACAUAAAUUGUCCCCAUAUUUCAGAUGGCUAAGCAGAAAUAAGAAUAGAAACUAUACAUGGGCUGUUGUGAAAAUGGAAGAAUGGAUUGAACAUGGUCGGUGCCCAAAGAAUGAUAGCYGGGGAUGGACCAACAGAGAGUGUUCUCCAUCCAAGGGGAAAUCCUGGCAAAUUGCUGGAUCCUGGAAACUAUUGGGCAUUGGAUCCAUGAGCUCAAGAGUGUGAGAAAGAGGAUAUGAUAGCUACUCACUCAUAUGACCUCUGUAGAGGCAUCACACUGGAUGAGAAAGAAGUUUCAGGAGAAUUCCCUGUUCUAGUAUGACUUCUUUCACAUAUCCUCAUUCAUUUUCAGUCUGGAGGACUCUCACUGUAAAGGUAAAAUUUCUAAGCUGAUUCUAAGCUGCAAGAGUCUGAGUUAAAGUGUAAAAGACUGGGGAUUGUAAGGUUUCUAAAUUGAAAGGCUUGGGCUAAAAAUAAUAAUAAUAGGCCAGGUAUUAUUAAAAUUCCUCUGCUACCCCAGGAACCUGUAAUCUCUGUAGCUGUUAGAACAAUACCUGAACUGCCCAGUAAAUAUUUCCAUUGAUUCCCUGGUUGUUUAUUAGCUAAGGGCUCCAAAUAGCUCAGACGUAAGCAUCCAGGCCACAAAACCAAUCAGUUUAAAUGUGUACCCCGCUCAGGGGUGACCAAUCACCCCUGCCCAGACUGUAGAUGUACUAAUCAUGGCUCAGGGUUGUUGUUCAAUUUUCCCUCGCCUCAAGAUGAUUUGUUCUGAUGUAUGCAAAGCCCCCCACCCUCUCCAAAAAGUGUACUUAAGCUCUGCUUGACCUCUGCUCUAGGCUCUCUGGGCUGCUCUCCCUUCCUGAGGGAGCCUUGAGCCCCAGCAUGCUGGUUCAAUAAAACUUCCCCCCUGCAAUUGCA